rnacentral:rRNA from 1 species
UACCAGCUCUCCGAGUGGUAGGGAUGAUUAUUGGGCUUAAAGCGUCCGUAGCCGGCUUAGCAAGUCCCCUGUUAAAUUCAGCGACCUAAUCGUUGAGCCGCGGGAGACACUACUAGGCUAGGAGGCGGGAGAGGCCGACGGUAUUCUCGGGGUAGGGGUGAAAUCCUAUAAUCCCGGGAGGACCACCAGUGGCAAAGGCUGUCGGCUAGAACGCGCUCGACGGUGAGGGACGAAAGCUGGGGGAGCGAACCGGAUUAGAUACCCGGGUAGUCCCAGCUGUAAACGAUGCGGGCUAGGUGUUGGGGUGGCUACGAGCCACUUCAGUGCCGCAGGGAAGCCAUUAAGCCCGCCGCCUGGGGGAGUACGGCCGCAAGGCUGAAACUUAAAGGAAUUGGCGGGGGAGCACCACAAGGCGUGAAGCUUGCGGUUC